rnacentral:rRNA from 1 species
CCAAUAGCGUAUAUUAAAGUUGUUGCAGUUAAAAAGCUCGUAGUUGAACUUCGGGGUUCACCCAUUGGUCAGGCUUAAUUGUCUGUACUGGUGAGAUGAGUCUCUACCUUCUGAGGAACUUUCAUGCCAUUUAUUUGGUGUGAUUGGAAAUCAGGACUGUUACUUUGAAAAAAUUAGAGUGUUUAAAGCAGGCUAACGUCUGAAUACAUUAGCAUGGAAUAAUGAAAUAGGACGGAUUGAUUCUAUUUCGUUGGUUUCUAGGGUCACCGUAAUGAUUAAUAGGGGUAGUUGGGGGCAUUAGUAUUCAAUUGUCAGAGGUGAAAUUCUUGGAUUUAUUGAAGACUAACUACUGCGAAAGCAUUUGCCAAGGAUGUUUUCAUUAAUCAAGAACGAAAGUUAGGGGAUCGAAGACGAUCAGAUACCGUCGUAGUCUUAACCAUAAACUAUGCCGACUAGGGAUCGGACGCAGUUAAUUUUAUAAUGACGUGUUCGGCACCUUACG